rnacentral:tRNA from 1 species
GUAGCUGUAGCUCAGUGGUAGAGUGCUUGCCUAGCAUGCAUAGGCACUGGGUUCUAUCCUCAGCACCACA